GGGGAAUAUUGGACAAUGGGCGCAAGCCUGAUCCAGCCAUGCCGCGUGGGUCAAGAAGGCCUUCGGGUUGUAAAGCCCUUUUGUUGGGAAAGAAAAGCAGCCGGCCAAUACCCGGUUGUUCUGACGGUACCCAAAGAAUAAGCACCGGCUAACGUCGUGCCAGCAGCCGCGGUAAUACGAAGGGUGCAAGCGUUACUCGGAAUUACUGGGCGUAAAGCGUGGCGUAGGUGGUGGUUUAAGUCCGUUGUGAAAGCCCGGGGCUCAACCUGGGAACUGCAGGGGAUACUGGAUAACUAGAGUGUGGAAGGGGGUAGUGGAAGUCCCGGGGUAGCAGGGAAAUGCGUAGAGAUGGGGAGGAACAUCAGUGGCGAAGGGGACUGCCUGGGCAAACACUGACACUGAGGCACGAAAGCGUGGUGAGCAAACA
rnacentral:rRNA from 1 species